GUGCCAGCAGCCGCGGUAAUACGGGGGAUGCAAGCGUUAUCCGGAUUUAUUGGGUUUAAAGGGUGCGUAGGCGGCUUGGUAAGUCAGCUGUGAAAUGUCCAUGCUCAACAUGGAACGUGCAGUUGAUACUGUCGAGCUAGAAUGCGGAUGCCGUGGGAGGAAUGUGUGGUGUAGCGGUGAAAUGCAUAGAUAUCACACAGAACACCGAUUGCGAAGGCAUCUCACGAAUCCGCUAUUGACGCUGAGGCACGAAAGCGCGGGUAUCGAACAGGAUUAGAUACCCUGGUAGUCCGCGCUGUAAACGAUGAUAACUAACCGUCGGCGAUAGAAUGUCGGUGGCCAAGCGAAAGCGAUAAGUUAUCCACCUGGGGAGUACGGCCGCAAGGCUGAAACUCAAAGGAAUUGACGGGGGCCCGCACAAGCGGAGGAACAUGUGGUUUAAUUCGAUGAUACGCGAGGAACCUUACCCGGGCUCGAACGGUAUGUGAACGACUCAGAGAUGAGGAGGUCCUUCGGGACGCAUAUCGAGGUGCUGCAUGGUUGUCGUCAGCUCGUGUCGUGAGAUGUUGGCUUAAGUGCCAUAACGAGCGCAACCCUUGUCGUUAGUUACUAACAGGUUAAGCUGAGGACUCUAGCGAGACUGCCACCGCAAGGUGUGAGGAAGGGGGGGAUGACGUCAAAUCAGCACGGCCCUUACGUCCGGGGCGACACACGUGUUACAAUGGCAGGUACAGAGGGAUGCUACCGGGUGACCGGAUGCGGAUCUCGAAAACCUGUCUCAGUUCGGAUUGGAGUCUGCAACUCGACUCCAUGAAGUUGGAUUCGCUAGUAAUCGCGCAUCAGCCAUGGCGCGGUGAAUACGUUCCCGGGCCUUGUACACACCGCCCGU
rnacentral:rRNA from 1 species